UACGUAGGGUGCGAGCGUUAAUCGGAAUUACUGGGCGUAAAGCGUGCGCAGGCGGUUUUGUAAGCCGGAUGUGAAAUCCCCGGGCUUAACCUGGGAAUGGCAUUCGGGACUGCAAGGCUGGAGUGCGGCAGAGGAGACUGGAAUUCCUGGUGUAGCAGUGAAAUGCGUAGAUAUCAGGAGGAACACCGAUGGCGAAGGCAGGUCUCUGGGCUGACACUGACGCUCAUGCACGAGAGCGUGGGGAGCAAACAGG
rnacentral:rRNA from 1 species